rnacentral:rRNA from 1 species
CACGUAGGGUGCGAGCGUUGUCCGGAAUUAUUGGGCGUAAAGAGCUCGUAGGCGGUGUGUCGCGUCGGCCGUGAAAACCUGCAGCUUAACUGUGGGCGUGCGGUCGAUACGGGCAUCACUGGAGUUCGGCAGGGGAGACUGGAAUUCCUGGUGUAGCGGAGAAAUGCGCAGAUAUCAGGAGGAACACCGAUAGCGAAGGCAGCUCGCUGGGACGGUACUGACGCUGAGGUGCGAAAGCGUGGGGAGCGAACAGG